GACGAACGCUGGCGGCGUGCUUAACACAUGCAAGUCGAGCGGUAAGGCCCUUUCGGGGGUACACGAGCGGCGAACGGGUGAGUAACACGUGGGUGACCUGCCCUCAGCUCUGGGAUAAGCCCUGGGAAACCGGGUCUAAUACUGGAUAUGACUCCAUGACGCAUGUUGUGGGGUGGAAAGCCUUGUGCGGCUGAGGAUGGGCCCGCGGCCUAUCAGCUUGUUGGUGGGGUGANGGCCUACCAAGGCGACGACGGGUAGCCGGCCUGAGAGGGCGACCGGCCACACUGGGACCUGAGACACGGCCCAGACUCCUACGGGAGGCAGCAGGUGGGGAAUCUUGCGCAAUGGGCGAAAGCCUGACGCAGCGACGCCGCGUGAGGGAUGACGGCCU
rnacentral:rRNA from 1 species